rnacentral:rRNA from 1 species
GAUGAACGCUAGCGGGAGGCCUAACACGUGCAAGCCGAGCGGUAUUUGUCUUUCGGGACAGAGAGAGCGGCGUACGGGUGCGGAACGCGUGUGCAACCUGCCUUUAUCAGGGGGACAGCCUUUCGAAAGGAAGAUUAAUACCCCAUAAUAUAUUGAAUGGCAUCAUUUGAUAUUGAAAACUCCGGUGGAUAGAGAUGGGCACGCGCAAGAUUAGAUAGUUGGUAGGGUAACGGCCUACCAAGUCAGUGAUCUUUAGGGGGCCUGAGAGGGUGAUCCCCCACACUGGUACGGAGACACGGACCAGUCUCCUACGGGGGGCAGCAGUGAGGAAUAGGGGACAAGGGGUGAGAGCCUGAUCCAGCCGUCCCGCGUGAAGGACGACGGCCCUAUGGGUUGUAAACUUCUUUUGUAUAGGGAUAAACCUAGAUACGUGUAUCUAGCUGAAGGUACUAUACGAAUAAGCACCGGCUAACUCCGUGCCAUCCGCCGCCGUAA